rnacentral:lncRNA from 1 species
UCCUGGCUCCAGGGCUCAGCCCUGCCCACUUCUGGAGAAUUCCAUGACUCAGGUAACAGAGGAGGGGCCUAGCCAGUCUCAGAGCCAAGGUCACACCGCCCUACACCUUGCUGUCCCCACAGCAUCUGCAGGAGGAGCAUGCCAGGACCAGAGACCCAGGGAGCAGCCUCACCAGAGGGAAAAGAGCCUGUAGAGUGGUGAGCUCAGGCCGGAGUGCAGUGACAUGAUACGGCCCUCCCCAGCCUCUACCUCCUGGGCUCAAGAGAUCCUCCUGCCGCGGACUUCCUGGUAGCUGGGAUGAGGGGUAACGGGAAUGGCAGGACUGUGGUUGAGCUUUGGGAGCCCGGGAAGGAAGGAUACUGGAGCUGGGCUGAUCCAGGACAGCUUCCUGGAGGAGGCGGGAUUUAAACUGGUCAAUGAGAAUUUGCCAUUUGCUUCAAUUGGGCACCUGAAGGCAUCAGUAAUCUGGUUUCACCUCGGACCACAUUCAGGCUCCACGAAACCCUUCUGGGUGUGAGGUACAGAGCUCAGCACGCUGCUGGUCCUUAAAAAAAGAACCACAUGAGGGCAAUAAUCACGAGAGGACUGUGGUGCUAUGUGAAGAAGAAAUGAAACUCAUCCAUGAUAAUGGAGAUGAAAAUCCUAGUUCUUAGGACGGCCUCAAACUUUAGAAAACCUCACACGGACUCAGGGAGAAGAGAGGGGCUAGGUGGGUGUGCAGAGUCCCCCAGUGGCUUGUUUUCAUUGGAAUAAUAACAUCUUACAUUUCGAUGUGGUAAUGUCGCUGUUAAAACGCACUUCUCAUUGUUAGAAAUAAAAAUGACUCAAAGAUGUGAAAGCUUUUCUCCAUUCAGUGACUUACAUGGGGGUUUUCCCAUGAAGGCCUUAGGAGAGGCUGUGAGGCAGCUUAUGCAAGGCUGCUUUCCGCAUCUCUAAGGAGGGUGGAAUGGGAAAUAAAACCAAUAAACUGUAAACUGCUCUCAGAAGAAUUCCUUCCAGCUGAAUUACAGAAACUUAGGCAAGGCUGCUACUAAGUUUAUGGGCUAGCAGUAAGUUUUCCUGCCCUCAUGGCUUUGGGGAAACUCUGAUGACUAUUCCGCUAGAAGGAGUAAUGAGUCAAAGACUGCCCUUAAAUCCUGCAAAAGAGGAUCUGGAAAAAAUACCUGGCACCCCCAUGACUAUCCUUCCCACCACCUGGUACAACCAGAAGUGAAAAUGCCUCAAGUUGAUGUUGAAACAAUAACUCAUCUCACCCUCCACAAAGGCACAGGACAUCUCUCAGCAACAGAGAUCUUUCCUCUAAUCGGAAAGUACACUCUUUGG